rnacentral:rRNA from 1 species
UACGUAGGGUGCGAGCGUUGUCCGGAAUUACUGGGCGUAAAGAGCUCGUAGGUGGUUUGUCGCGUUGUUCGUGAAAACUCACAGCUCAACUGUGGGCGUGCGGGCGAUACGGGCAGACUGGAGUACUGCAGGGGAGACUGGAAUUCCUGGUGUAGCGGUGGAAUGCGCAGAUAUCAGGAGGAACACCGGUGGCGAAGGCGGGUCUCUGGGCAGUAACUGACGCUGGAGACGCGAAAGCCGUGGGGAGCGAACAGG